CAGGUGGGCAGGCGUGCGUAUGGGUGAGUCAGGUGGACAGGUGUGCGUAUGGGUGAGUCAGGUGGACAGGCGUGCGUAUGGCUGUGCGUUUGGGCGAGUCAGGUGGGCAGACGUGCGUAUGGGCAGUCAGGUGGACAGGCGUGUGUAUGGGUGAGUCAGGUGGACCACUGUGUGUACGGGCGAGUCAGGUGGACCGGCGUGCAUAUGGGCAGGUCAGGUGGGUAGGCGUGUGUAUGGAUGUGCAUAUGGGCGGGUCAGGUGGACAGGUGUGUAUAUGGGUGUACAUGUGUGCACAGGUGCUACUUUACUCUGUGUUCAACACGUGUUCGUGGACGUGCUCCAGGCCCAAGGCGAAGGAAUAGGAUGUAGCAGGGGCAGGGUCUCCGCCCCAUACUCAGAGUCCUUGGGCUCCGGGAAGACACAACCGAUAAGUGGUUACGGGGAUGCCUGGGAGCUACGGGCACACACAGACCCUCCUGGGCCCAGCAUAAGGGCCAGGGAAGACUUCCUGGAGUCCAAGUGGAAGCUGCAGGUUCUGUUCCCAGGCUGCUGUUGGGCAGUGAACAAACGGCACUGGAUUCAGAGUCGGACAAACCUGGGUUCAAGUCCAAUCUGCCUCUCAAGCUGUGUAGCCUUUAGCAAGUCACUUCUUCCCCUUGGGCCUCAGUUUCCUCAUUUGCCAUCUCACCCUUCACAGCACUGAUGUUUGGAUUAAUGCGAUGAGGCAGGUGAAAGCACUGUAAAUGCCACCCAGGCACGGAGCUUUCAUGGGACAGUUGAAACGCAGGUGAAAUGAAAGUCAGUGUCCUGUUGUCCUCCGACUUUACAUUAUUAAAGAGAAUUGGGCUGGAUGCAGUGGCUCACAGCUAUAAUCCUAGCACUUUGGGAGGCCGAGGUGGGCAGAUCACUUGAGGUCAGGAGUUCGAGACCAGUCUGGCCAAUGUGGUGAAACCCUGUCUCUACUACAAAUAAAAAAUUAGUCG
rnacentral:lncRNA from 1 species